rnacentral:rRNA from 1 species
UACGUAGGGGGCAAGCGUUGUCCGGAAUCAUUGGGCGUAAAGCGCACGUAGGCGGACUCUUAAGUCAGGGGUGAAAUCCUGGAGCUCAACUCCAGAACUGCCUUUGAUACUGAGAGCCUUGAGUCCGGAAGAGGUAAGUGGAACUGCGAGUGUAGAGGUGAAAUUCGUAGAUAUUCGCAAGAACACCAGUGGCGAAGGCGGCUUACUGGUCCGGUACUGACGCUGAGGUGCGAAAGCGUGGGGAGCAAACAGG